rnacentral:misc_RNA from 2 species
AACACCUCAAGAUCUCUAUUGAGAUUUUGGAUUUGAAUGAACCCAAUCUUGAAUAAAGAGUCGGGUCAUUUGAAAUGCAGGUGCGGCUGAAACUUUCUUUCUGAGCUAAAAGCAUUAUUCAUUUAGUCCUUUUCAAUAAGGAUUAUUACUUUUUUGCUGCAGCUAAUAUAAAGGAUUGAAAGGAGAGCUGACUGAUGCAGGAAUUUCACAGAGAGUUUCUUAAACUCUUUUGUUAA